GGCUUUUUAAAUUAGUGGUAGAGUAAUCUCGUGCUAAGACGUAAGUCAUUGGUUCGAAUCUGAUAGAGUACUUUUCUACUAAAUUGAUUCACUUUUUUUCUUUGUUUUUGAAACUUUCUCUAUAUUUUUAGAGAAUUUUAUGACUUAGUGCGGGAUGGAUGCAUUUUUGUUCUGAACACUAAAUGAAGCACGGAGAAUUAAUCUAUAACGAUCAACUAAAAAAAUCGUAGAUGAAAACAUAACAGAAAAGUUGGAAAAACUCUUUGCUUUGGAUCUAUUUAUACUUUUCGAGUAUAUUGACAAUUCCAAAAAACUGCUCAUACUAUGAUUAUAGUAUAAUCACGAGCGGUUGUAUAUGGCCCUAUCGUCUAGUGAUGCCCCUAUCGUCUAGUGGUUCAGGACAUCUCUCUUUCAAGGAGGCAGCGGGGAUUCGACUUCCCCUGGGGGUAGGGAGUAUUAUGAAAGGAGGUUAAUCAUAGAUUAGCAAAAACCCUAGAAUAAAUUCUUCCUGGGUCGAUGCCCGAGUGGUUAAUGGGGACGGACUGUAAAUUCGUUGACAAUGUCUACGCUGGUUCAAAUCCAACUCGGCCCAAACCAAAAAUCUAGGGCUUCGUGAAUAUGAACUAAAUCCUUUUGUUCUUCUUCCAUUUGUUUUUCUUCCAUAAAAUAAAAUGUCUGAUCUAUAGAAAUAAAAGAUAAAGAAAAAAGGGAAUUUUUUUUUCUAAUCCAUAUCUCUCUCAUUCCUUUCUUACAAACAAAGGAGUUUUUCUUAUUGAAGGCUGGAUUAUUAUCCAUUUUUAGUGAUAAAAAAUUACGACAUACUAGUUAUGUCACUCUCACUAUACCCACGUAUAAUAUGUGGGUAUGUAGUAUAUGAUUCGUCUAUUUUGUUGAAUCUUUUUCACGGCUCGAUAGAGAAUUUGAUAAGCCAAUGAUUUUUUUCCGUCUUUCAUAAUACGGUUAACCACCAUGUUAACUAAUCGAUUACGAAAAAUUGGAUCGGAUUUUGCAGUUCUUUUUUCUGCAGUACCUCGACGUGACAUGAGCGUGAAAGAGGUUCAAGAAUCCAUUUUCUUUUUAUAAGGGCUAAAAUCACUUAUUUUUUUGGCUUUUUGACCCCAUAUUGUAGGGUGGAUCUCGAAAGAUAGGAAAGAUCUCCCUCCAAGCCGUACAUACGACUUUCAUCGAAUACGGCUUUCCACAGAAUUCUAUAGGGAUCUAUGAGAUCGAGUAUGGAAUUCUGUUUACUCACUUUAAAUUGAGUAUCCAUUUCCCUCCUUUUCCCGCUAGGAUCGAAAAUCCUGUAUUUUCCAUAUCCAUACGAUCGAGUCCUUAGGUUUCGUAUUUUAUGCACCGCGAACGGCAUACUUUAAUAAUUUAUGAUGAUCUCUCCAAACAGGCACAAGCUUAUCGCCAAAUGUCCCUUCUAUUAAGAAGACCUCCCGGCCGUGAGGCUUAUCCAGGGGAUGUUUUUUAUUUGCAUUCACGCCUUUUAGAAAGAGCCGCUAAAUUAAAUUCUCUUUUAGGCGAAAGAAGUAUGACCGCUUUACCAAUAGUUGAGACUCAAUCUGGAGACGUUUCCGCCUAUAUUCCUACUAAUGUAAUCUCCAUUACAGAUGGACAAAUAUUCUUAUCUGCGGAUCUAUUCAAUGCCGGAAUUCGACCCGCUAUUAAUGUGGGUAUUUCUGUUUCCAGAGUAGGAUCCGCGGCUCAAAUUAAAGCCAUGAAACAAGUAGCUGGCAAAUCAAAAUUGGAACUAGCUCAAUUCGCAGAGUUACAAGCCUUUGCACAAUUCGCCUCUGCUCUCGAUAAAACAAGUCAGAAUCAAUUGGCAAGCGGUCGACGAUUAAGGGAAUUGCUUAAACAAUCCCAGGCAAAUCCUCUCCCAGUGGAAGAGCAGAUAGCUACUAUUUAUACCGGAACAAGACGAUAUCUUGAUUCGUUAGAAAUUGAACAGGUAAAUAAAUUUCUGGAUGAGUUACGUAAACAUCUAAAAGAUACUAAACCUCAAUUCCAAGAAAUUAUAUCUUCUAGCAAGACAUUCACCGAGCAAGCGGAAAUCCUUUUGAAGGAAGUUAUUCAAGAAGAGCUGGAACGGUUUUCUCUUCACUAACAAAUAAAUUUUGCAUGUCUACUCUUGUUAGUAGAAUAGGAAUCGUUGAGAAAGAUUUUUCAUUUGAAUCAUGCAAAAAAGUUUUCUUUGUUUUUAGUUUAGUAUAGUUAUUUAAAGAAUAGAUAGAAAUAAGAUUGCGUCCAAUAGGAUUUGAACCUAUACCAAAGGUUUAGAAGACCUCUGUCCUAUCCAUUAGACAAUGGACGCUUUUCUUUCAUAUUUUAUUCUUUCUUUUAUUUUUUUUCUUCUUCCGAGAAAAAACUGUUAGACCAAAACUCUUUUAGGAAAUCAAAAAAUCCAGAUACAAAUGCAUGAUGUAUAUAUUAUAUCAUGCAUAUAUCAUAAAGAAGGAGUAUGGAGCCGGUAGUGGGAAUUGAACCCGCAACC
rnacentral:lncRNA from 1 species